rnacentral:sRNA from 1 species
GAGAGCGGCGAGCCGCGAGCCAGGCAGUCCGGGGCAUCCAGACUGCAGGCCGCGCCCAGGCCGCGCCCAGGCUGCGCCGCCCGCCUGCCUCC